rnacentral:tRNA from 1 species
CCCUUGGUGGUGCAAUUGGUUAACAUACUCAGCUGCUAACUGAAAGGUGGAGGCUUGAGUCCUCCCAGAGACA